UGAGGAACAGUGAACUGGCCCCCUGUUUAAAAAAUUUGAGGACCCCUGCGUUAGCACUUCUGAAACUAUACACUAACUUUGAUUGAACAAGACCAGAAAGUAAGGAAAUGCUCACAGAAAAAGAGAGGAUCUUGGGAGAAUGUCAAAAGGACACAGGAGUUAAGAAACUUGGCAGACAGCAGCUUAAUGAAGUUGUCAGGUCCAGCAUCUUGACGGACUGUUGUUCUGGCUCUUUGGCCCCUUCCUUGGAAGAAUCACAAGGAAGCCAGUGAGACGAAGUGAACACAAACAGGAAGCAAUUCCACACAGACAGCUUUCAUUAAAGAAGGAAGGAAGGAAGAAGAAAGCUACACAAAGUGAGCAUACAUCCAAGAGAGACAGGAAUGGGUCAGUCUCCAUGGAGUGGAGAAAGUUGUUAAGGGCUCCCAGGUGGUUUCCUCUUAUUGGCUUGGUCCAGGAGGGUUUGCAAGGGUACAGGAUGUUAACAGAUGAUUGAAAUAUGUGAUUGCCAGGUGUUCUGUGUUUUAUUA